AUGUGCAUGCCCAAGGAGAAAGGAGGUAUUGGGUUCCAGGAUAUUCACAAUUUUAACUUGGCCUUGCUAGCCAAGCAAUGUUGGAGGUUAAUUCAGAAUUUUGACUCACUAUGUGCCAGAGUUAUAAGAUCCAGAUAUUAUCCUAGUGGAGACAUUUUGAAUUGUGAACUAAAGAAAGGAUCAUCUUUCGUUUGGCAAAGUAUUUGGGCGGGAGUCCAAACCUUUAAGAAAGGAUGCAUCUGGAGAGUGGGGGAUGGAGCAAAGAUAAAUAUCUGGAGUGAUUGUUGGAUCCCAAACAGUGCUUCUAGGAAAGUGAUGUGA
rnacentral:rRNA from 1 species